rnacentral:rRNA from 1 species
GUGAGGAAUUUUCCGCAAUGGGCGAAAGCCUGACGGAGCAAUGCCGCGUGAAGGAUGAAGGCCUAUGGGUUGUAAACUUCUUUUCUCAGAAAAGAAUUAUGACGGUAUCUGAGGAAUAAGCAUCGGCUAACUCUGUGCCAGCAGCCGCGGUAAGACAGAGGAUGCAAGCGUUAUCCGGAAUGAUUGGGCGUAAAGCGUCUGUAGGUUGUUUAAAAAGUAUUCUGUCAAAGAUUAGGGCUUAACCCUAGAUAGGCAGAAUAAACUUUUAAGCUAGAGUUUGGUAGAGGCAGAGGGAAUUCCCGGUGGAGCGGUGAAAUGCGUAGAUAUCGGGAGGAACACCAAAGGCGAAGGCACACUGCUGGGCCAAUACUAACACUGAGAGACGAAAGCGAGGGGAGCAAAUGGGAUUAGAAACCCGAGUAGUCC